rnacentral:tRNA from 1 species
GCGCAGUUGGCGUAGUGAUUUAACGCGUGCACUUCAGAGGUGCAAGACCCGGGUUCGAAUCCCGGACUGUGCA